GACGAACGCUGGCGGCGUGCUUAACACAUGCAAGUCGAACGGAAAGGCCCUGCUUUUGUGGGGUGCUCGAGUGGCGAACGGGUGAGUAACACGUGAGUAACCUGCCCUUGACUUUGGGAUAACUUCAGGAAACUGGGGCUAAUACCGGAUAGGAGCUCCUGCUGCAUGGUGGGGGUUGGAAAGUUUCGGCGGUUGGGGAUGGACUCGCGGCUUAUCAGCUUGUUGGUGGGGUAGUGGCUUACCAAGGCUUUGACGGGUAGCCGGCCUGAGAAGGUGACCGGCCACAUUGGGACUGAGAUACGGCCCAGACUCCUACAGGAGGCAGCAGUGGGGAAUAUUGCACAAUGGGCGGAAGCCUGAUGCAGCAACGCCGCGUGCGGGAUGACGGCCUUCGGGUUGUAAACCGCUUUCGCCUGUGACGAAGCGUGAGUGACGGUAAUGGGUAAAGAAGCACCGGCUAACUACGUG
rnacentral:rRNA from 1 species